rnacentral:rRNA from 1 species
AUUGAACGCUGGCGGCAUGCUUUACACAUGCAAGUCGAACGGCAGCGCGGGCUUCGGCCUGGCGGCGAGUGGCGAACGGUGAGUAAUACAUCGGAACGUGCCCAGUAGUGGGGGAUAGCUCGGCGAAAGCCGGAUUAAUACCGCAUACGACCUGAGGGUGAAAGCGGGGGAUCUUCGGACCUCGCGCUAUUGGAGCGGCCGAUGGCAGAUUAGCUAGUUGGUGGGGUAAAGGCCUACCAAGGCGACGAUCUGUAGCUGGUCUGAGAGGACGACCAGCCACACUGGGACUGAGACACGGCCCAGACUCCUACGGGAGGCAGCAGUGGGGAAUUUUGGACAAUGGGCGAAAGCCUGAUCCAGCAAUGCCGCGUGUGUGAUGAAGGCCUUCGGGUUGUAAAGCACUUUUGGCGGGAACGAAAAGGACUGUGCCAAUACCACGGUUCGAUGACGGUACCCGCAGAAUAAGCACCGGUUAACUACGUG